CCAAUAUAUCAUCUCUGUGGCUUUUAUUCAUUUUGGAAUUUGGAAGCUCGAAGCAGAGCUCUCUCUCAAAAUCCCUAAGCUCCAAAAGGAAAACAGAGCGAAAUCGCGUUUUACUUUUACAAUUCUAUCUGUCAAAAUCCCCAAGCUCUGAAAGGGAAACAGAUCGAAAUCGUGUUUAACUUCUACAAUUCGAUCCUUUACAAUGCCUAGAAACGUCAAUUCUGUCCUCCACACUAGCAAUCUCUUCGCCGAUUUCAGGUAAUAUUGGAGAGGGUAGAGCAUUUUGCUCAGUCAGUUUCUGUACACGAAGAUCAAAUAUUUCAAAUAAGAGCUCGUAUUCAGCAGUUGGUGCCAGGUGUCACAGAGUUCAUGAUAGCAGAACUGCUUUACUUGCAAUGGAUGGAUCCAAACCAGCCAAAAUAUCUUUACAUCAAUUCAACUGGAAUGACUCGUGAUGAUGGUGAAACGCUUUUCACAAGCAGCAGUUGCAGCUCAAGCUGGUGCUUCAGUUAUCCAGAUUUUUGUUGGUUAUUCCAGUGGAAUUGUAUAAUAUCUCCUUGAAUUUGUUUCUUAUGGGUUUUUCUUUCAUGUUGUAGAGAAAGAUUCAGAUUCAGGUUCUGACUUGUAUUCGGAUGGAUCAGAUAUCCUAGAGCAAUUGAUAAGGAAAAGGCAAGAGAACUAAAAGAUACAGAGGUAGAAUUGCAGCUCAAUAUCAAAGACAAAUUAGAUGAGUUUAGAUUGCCUACAGAAGAGGCACUUCUCCAUUAAUUCUACUUCGAACUUCUCCUGGUUCAUUUUGAAUUUGGAAACUUGAGGCUCUUAUGAUUUUCCUUUAGGAGCUUCAAGAAGAGGCACAGUGACCACCAGAUCUUCCAAAAUCUUCAGCACAAAAUAAAAGAAUGUUUCCAGUUGCAGAGCUUGCACAACUUAUCAAAGUGUGUGAAAAUCCAUGACCCACUUGCUUGGACAAACGCUCUAAAGUCUAUCCUGACUCUCAUUUACGGCGACAGUAGCAGAUCACUCAAAUAUGGUUUUCUGUGUGAAAGCUGUUUGGUUGAAAACAUUACACAUUCUCAUGUGCAGGCAUGGGUAUUUCCAUGUGGUGAACAAUGACUACACUCACUGGGAGAUGUAUGCGAUUGGCGGAAGUGCAAAUCCCACCAUGAACAACCAGGGCAACAGAUAUCUUGCCCCGAUGAAUCGCUUUGCCAAGGAGGCACUUGUGGUGAAGCUAAGGGAAGGCACCGUGCCAAAUGCUAAUACUGGUGUUGUCACUGGAGUUCUUGCAACUGUUGGGGAGCUUGCUAGGGUGGGAGGUUUUGGAAUGAAGCAAUAUCUUAACUAUGUUAGUAAUUGUUGAAGCCCUCUUGGAUGGAGCUACUGUUAUAAAGCGUGAAGUGGCUGUCGCAACUCUUGGUCAAGUUGUACAGAGCACUGGGUAUUGUGUUCUCAUUGCUAGUCCAAGCCAGAAUAAAGACGGAUGAUUGUGUCAGCCUGUCAGGUUCGGGGGCUCCCUUUUGCCCACAAUUUCCAUGUGGAAUGCAUUGAUGAGUGGCUCCGGCUAAAUGUGAAGUGCCCCCAUUACCGCUACUCCGACUUCCCUAACCUCGAUCUCAGCACCCUCUCCAACCUUCACGCUGACUCUGGGCGUCCCCCUGCUAGUGUUUUGACGGCCACACGCUAUGUGCACACACAGUCAGCAGGCCAGAGCUACCUGUUGAGGUUGCAGGGCCUGCUAUGCACAAACCGAAUGGAGAAUGCUGGUGGAGGCAAUGAUGA